GACGAACGCUGGCGGCGUGCUUAACACAUGCAAGUCGAACGGAAAGGCCCCUUUGGGGGUACUCGAGUGGCGAACGGGUGAGUAACACGUGAGUAACCUGCCCUUGACUUCGGGAUAACUUCAGGAAACUGGGGCUAAUACCGGAUAGGAAUCCUUGCUGCAUGGUGGGGGUUGGAAAGCUUCGGCGGUUUUGGAUGGACUCGCGGCUUAUCAGCUUGUUGGUGGGGUAGUGGCUUACCAAGGCUUUGACGGGUAGCCGGCCUGAGAGGGCGACCGGCCACAUUGGGACUGAGAUACGGCCCAGACUCCUACGGGAGGCAGCAGUGGGGAAUAUUGCACAAUGGGCGGAAGCCUGAUGCAGCAACGUCGCGUGCGGGAUGACGGCCUUCGGGUUGUAAACCGCUUUCAGCAGGGGCGAAGCUUGUGGUGACGGUACCUGCAGAAGAAGCACCGGCUAACUACGUG
rnacentral:rRNA from 1 species